rnacentral:rRNA from 1 species
AUGGACGCUGGCGGCGUGCCUCAUACAUGCAAGUCGAGCGCACGGACGAGAAGCUUGCUUCUCUGAUGUUAGCGGCGGACGGGUGAGUAACACGUGGAUAACCUACCUAUAAGACUGGGAUAACUUCGGGAAACCGUAGCUAAUACCGGAUAAUAUUUUGAACCGCAUGGUUCAAAAGUGAAAGACGGUCUUGCUGUCACUUAUAGAUGGAUCCGCGCUGCAUUAGCUAGUUGGUAAGGUAACGGCUUACCAAGGCAACGAUGCAUAGCCGACCUGAGAGGGUGAUCGGCCACACUGGAACUGAGACACGGUCCAGACUCCUACGGGAGGCAGCAGUAGGGAAUCUUCCGCAAUGGGCGAAAGCCUGACGGAGCAACGCCGCGUGAGUGAUGAAGGUCUUCGGAUCGUAAAACUCUGUUAUUAGGGAAGAACAUAUGUGUAAGUAACUGUGCAUAUCUUGACGGUACCUAAUCAGAAAGCCACGGCUAACUACGUG